AUUGAACGCUGGCGGCAUGCCUUACACAUGCAAGUCGAACGGCAGCAUGACGUGUAGCAAUACACGUUGAUGGCGAGUGGCGAACGGGUGAGUAAUAUAUCGGAACAUGUCCCGUAGCGGGGGAUAGCCCGGCGAAAGCCGGAUUAAUACCGCAUACGCUCUACGGAGGAAAGCGGGGGUCGCAAGACCUCGCACUACGGGAGUGGCCGAUAUCGGAUUAGCUAGUUGGCGGGGUAAAAGCCCACCAAGGCGACGAUCCGUAGCUGGUCUGAGAGGAUGAUCAGCCACACUGGAACUGAGACACGGUCCAGACUCCUACGGGAGGCAGCAGUGGGGAAUUUUGGACAAUGGGCGCAAGCCUGAUCCAGCCAUGCCGCGUGAGUGAAGAAGG
rnacentral:rRNA from 1 species